rnacentral:ncRNA from 1 species
CAGGGGGUGUUCAUUAAAUUAAUUAACCAUUAUUAAUUUAAUGAACUGAGAUGCAAGCUUUAGCAGCAAACCCUUUGAACCUGAACCGGAUAAUACCGGCGUAGGAAUGGUAAAAUCU